UACGUAGGGUGCGAGCGUUGUCCGGAAUUACUGGGCGUAAAGAGCUCGUAGGUGGUUUGUCGCGUUGUUCGUGAAAACUCACAGCUCAACUGUGGGCGUGCGGGCGAUACGGGCAGACUGGAGUACUGCAGGGGGAGACUGGAAUUCCUGGUGUAGCGGUGGAAUGCGCAGAUAUCAGGAGGAACACCGGUGGCGAAGGCGGGGUCUCUGGGGCAGUAACUGACGCUGGGGGGAGCGAAAAGCGUGGGGGAGCGAACAGG
rnacentral:rRNA from 1 species